GCCUUCGUGGUGUAGUGGUCAGCACGCUGGAAGCGCAUUCCAGAGAUCCGUGGUUCGAGUCCCGGAGAAAACA
rnacentral:tRNA from 1 species